rnacentral:lncRNA from 1 species
GAAAUUAAAAUGGACAUCCGGCUACAGUGACAGUGAAAAGUGCAGAGAAUAUAGGCCUGAAUUUGGACAACACAUGAAAACAAACAGCAUCCAUCAAAAUCAAGUGCCUGAAGGCGACGGUUUGAUUUGAACAUCACGAUUGCUCGGUGCACGCUCUAUAAUAUUCAAAGGUACAAGCUCUUUAAAUUUCUUCGGGCCUUAUUGCAUCAGAACGAGACAAGGGCAAGGGCGACACCGACUGAAAGGUCGCCCGGGUCGCGGUGUUAUUGCACUCUGCCAUGGUCUAGAGGCGAUUACGGAAAGGGACUGGAGCUUCUUUGGCUCUUCUGAAGACGAUGCAGCGGUUAGUUCACACCGUAGAUCCACUUCUCCUCGUUGCUGGUGUAAGAGACCAGCUCCUUGGGCUGGAACCAGAGUGCGAUCUCGUCCUUGGCUGUCUCCGGGCCAUCGCUCCCGUGG